rnacentral:rRNA from 1 species
CCAGACUCCUACGGGAGGCAGCAGUGGGGAAUAUUGCACAAUGGGGGAAACCCUGAUGCAGCGACGCCGCGUGAGCGAUGAAGUAUUUCGGUAUGUAAAGCUCUAUCAGCAGGGAAGAAAAUGACGGUACCCGACUAAGAAGCCCCGGCUAACUACGUGCCAGCAGCCGCGGUAAUACGUAGGGGGCAAGCGUUAUCCGGAUUUACUGGGUGUAAAGGGAGCGUAGACGGCGGUGCAAGCCAGAUGUGAAAGCCCGGGGCUCAACCCCGGGACUGCAUUUGGAACUGUGCUGCUAGAGUGUCGGAGAGGCAGGCGGAAUUCCUAGUGUAGCGGUGAAAUGCGUAGAUGUCAGGAGGAACACCGGCGGCGAAGGCGGCCUGCUGGACCGUGACUGACGUUGAGGCUCGAAAGCGUGGGGAGCAAACAGGAUUAGAUACCCUUGUAA